GCAGCAGGGAGGGAGAGAGGUCCUGGAGAAAGAAUGAAAGACCAUUCCCAAACCAAGAUUUGGAACAACGGAUACUCCUGGAUGAUGUUAUAUGUUUUGUGUGUCGUUACUUUUCAAGGCUUUCGGCUGCAAGUCAUUAUUUCAGCUGAUUGGAAAAUGGUGUUGAAAGACCUGCUUCUCUGCCCCACAGCCCUGUGAGGAGAUCAGGACAGAGCCGGUCAGCACAGAAUUGCUCUGGGAUCUGGAUCCAGCCGUGGGUGGACUCACACUCGAGCCCACGUAAGAAUCCUGAGUAUUACCUGGCACUUACACCAUUCGGGUGAUCAGAUUGGCCAGUGGUUGUCAAAUGUUAGUGAGCUUAAUACAGACUGCUGAGCCUCA